AUGAUGGCAAGGCACAUGUAUUUCCAAAGCAAUGUUCCCCAACUUGAUUGCCCAUCAUAUUUCAUUGGCCAUAGCUUUGGGGCAACUUUUAACAGCUUCCAACAAAUCAAUCAUCCAAGGAUGAAGAUGUACCGCAUUUCAAGAUAUUUAAGAAAGUACCAACAGUGUCCAUGCAUAACUUUCCAGAAGAGUUCCAAAAAUGCUUUGAGCAAUUUCUCAGCAUCUUGGGAAUCAGCAAAAAUCUACUCUGCAGGCAACAGUGCUGCUUUGGAAUUAGACAGUCUGAUGUGCUACAAUAACCAGCACCUAUUAACUGUUUACCAUGAACCAACUCUAUCAGGCAAUGUGUGUGUGUGUGUAUUCUCACUGAACUCUCCCAACAAUUAUAUGAAAACAACAACAACAAUAGUUGUUUUUGGCAUUUGCUGAGUGCCAACGAUGGGUCAGGCACUGCGUUAAGGAUUAUUUUGUUUUAACCCCAUUUUACAGACAAAAAAAACAAACCCUGAUGUUUACAGAAAAGCAAAGCACUUUGCUAAGAUCACAAAGCCAGUAAGAGAGGAACUAAGAUUUGCAUGCAAAUGUAUCUGACUUGCUCAUAAUUACUCUGAUUUAUGCUUGUGGUAAGCUAGGCUCUUAACUACUGUGAUGUGACUGUUAGAUUUUUAUAAAAAAAAAAAAAAUAUAUAUAUAUAUAUAUAUCCUGAUUUAUACUUCUUUUUAAUCAAAACUACCUAGUUCAGUGUUCAUUAAAUGCUAGUAGAAUGAAUAAACUUCUAUCAGUGACAGUGGUCCAAUCAAGGCAAAUAAGAAUAACUAGCAAAAGUGAUACAUGAUGGUUCAGCUCAUCUAAUUCCCAAACUACAGCCAUGUUCCCUGUUCAUAGGAGAGAGCAGCGGGCAUCAGAGGCCCACUUUGUGAUCUCCUUGCUAUUUCAGUCCGGGUAAGCCCCUGCAGGGCCCCGAGUCUCAGUCACUCCAGCCAGACAUCAGGAAUGGGUACAUUCACCUCCCUUCCCCAGCCUUCCCCAUGAAUAUUUAUAAAGGGCCCUGGAAUCCUGGUAUCCCAUAAAAAUGCAAAGUACGAUUAUUAUUAAUGAUACAGUUAGCAAGAAGGACAUUUGUUAUUUCUACUCAAUUGGUUUCCCCCGGGAGCAGAAACAAUUUUUUUUGACAUAGUAUUAAUGUGCCGUCUUUGCAACUUUGAUCAUCUGUCAUUUUCUUUUGGACAAAGUUGAGCCAGUGUCUCAGGCAGCACCCUGCCUUCCCCUUUGCAAUAUGGGCACUAGCUGAGCCCAAGUUGCUUCAUGGUUUAGAUGAAACUAUGGAUCUUUAUUUGAUUUCUGGUAUCAGGAAACAAUUUAUUAGGAUCAAGGCAGUUAGACUACGCGACUUCCUUUCUUGCCGAGGUAGUCGCUAGUCGCACAGGCAGCCUUGGCUCAUAAAUCUAGUUUUAUUUCCCCAUCUAUUCACCUGGAACUAAGUGAUUUUUUUAAGGCAAAGGGGAGAACACAUUUCCUUAUGUAAGCACUCUUCCUCCAGCUCGUAAUCACCAUUGUUUCUCAGACAAACUAGUGAGCAGCUGAAGCAGGGAGCCAUUUCCAUUUUCGUGCAUCACACUUGUAUUUUCAGAGUUUACAGAAAAAUACUGCAACCAAUUUGGGAUUUCCCUAUAAUGAACCACUUCCUCUAAAUAAACCAGAAUUGAUUCCAACGUGAAUUUCAGAGACGAAAGGGCUUUCUGAAAACAUCCAUUUUCAUAUGCCCUUCAGAAACUACCUUGCCUUUCUUUCUCCUCCCAUCCCCCGCUCCCACCCUCCCUCAAGCCCCCCACCCCGCCUUCCCCUCCUUCUUAAGAAGACUUUCCCAGGUCCCUCUUGGCUGUGGUUGAACGACGUUGGCUCAUGUCCAUGCUGCAACAAAGACCUGGCAUUCCAGCUGUCUGCGUCUAAUCUCCAGUGUCAGCUCUCGUUAAUGUGUGAGCGUGAAAUCAGAGGGGGCAGAGCUGCACGGAAUAUUAAAACCAUGAUCAGAAUUCCACUGAAAUGCUGAGAGUCUGCAAGCACCAUUAGAGGAGGCUGUCAAAUCACCGCUUCGCAUUAAAUAAAAGAAAAGAUUUCUAUCAGAGGAAAGUACAAUCAGUGAAUCGCUGAGCUAAAUUAGCAUUUUUUCAAUUGGAGAUCGAAGUUGAUUUAUUGUUCUACACGACAUUAAUGUAACUAUGUGCUUGACCUGCUAAGGCAGCUAAUUUUUCAUUUAAAUGGUUUCUUUCCUUCCCGGUGCAAAGGCUGCAAUCAUAUUUCAACUUUGCAGAGUGAUCAGAAAAGUCGUGGAAUGCUGCAGAAAUGUCUUAGGGCGGCCUUCCUUCCCCUCCCCUCUCCUUCCUUUCCUUUUUCCAACUCCAGCGCCUUCCUCCUCCCCUCCCCUUCCCCCCUAACCUCAUGGCUGGUGGUCAAGGUCACAGAGGAAGAGUAAUCUCAAAGCCACCGACUUCAAAGCCUCCAUCAAAGAAGCCCCUACGUAGCCAUUGAAUUAAAAGGGAAUGGGGGAGGGUGGGGUCCGGGCACUAGAUGUUCCUACCAGCAAGAAAGGACCCUUUAACUGCCCUGCUGGUAUGGCCAAAUCUGGGGCGUCCUGGGUCCAGUUUUCUCCUGCAGGCCUCUCAGUGUGUGUCUCUUCUCAUCCUCCCCCACCCCCUCUCCUCCGCACACACAUCGCCUGAAGAUAAUAUACAUUUCCAAUUAGCAGAGCACAUUCUAGUCAUGUUCUCUUUUACUGCCCUAACUAUCUUCCUUUUGCUAAAAAGCUGGGCUGUCAUUAAUGAAAUCCUGCAGUUCUGUUAAUCCGAGAUACAAUGCUCCUUUCUCUCUCAGGCGCUCCUUAACAUAAAAACUACAGUUACUCAAGCUCCCCUCUUCUGUUUGGAGUCCUCGUUGUUUGUCUUUCGUUGCAUACCUGAUGUAGCACAGUAGCAGUGGAAGUUCCCGGACAUAGAAGGAGAGAAUGCAAUUAUAUUUGUUUCUCAAUGUCCUUGUUUGCAAAGGCAGCUGGCAUUUUCUGUUUUUCUUUUUCUUUAAGCACAUUGAUUUUUAAGCUCUGGAAAUUUGGGAAUAUGUCUUAGAGUAUUCCGGGGGCCUUUGCAUGUAGCAAAUUUGUUGGAUUUAAAACUAUUAUAGUUGGAAGCCCUGGAAGAACCCUGAUAAAUUAGAAUUCAGCAUUUAUCU
rnacentral:lncRNA from 1 species